rnacentral:lncRNA from 1 species
CUUAUAUUUAAGGGUACUAUUCAAGGAGGAGACUCUCAGUGUCACCGAGUGCCUGCUGAGUUCAGGUGCACAUGUUCUUACAGCAUUACUCAUACUCGAAAAACUACUUGUUAUUCAUACUCAUAAGUUACUCGACCGUGACGUGCAGUGGAAAAAUGUGCAAAAAUAAUGUUUCUUUGUGACAACUGAUCCCAGUCUGAUGUUUCAUAACUGAUAGCCUGGAAACGUGCCUGUACAGAGUCCCUGCCAUCAGAGACGUUCCACGAAGAUGAAGAAAAUAAAGAGGCAGAUGUGCAGCGGCUGUUAGCACGCUGAAAGCUUUGUGUCACGGCAACUCUGACGUUAUUCUGAAGAGACAGUUCUGCAAUCAUUGGAAGAGCCACCCAAACCCUGCCCUGGGUGUUCUUCUGUGACUUACAGCAACCUCCAAACUCGCACUGUGUGUAGUGUAAAUAUUGUGUCGGGUAAGUGUGUAUAUGUCCUCCUACAGCAGUAGGUCUAGCAAAACACAAGUGUGAUUUGGCAGUCGAGGAUGUCACUCCCAGAACACAGCAAGGUCUGUGAGCCAGAAGCUGGCUGCUCGGUUUGGGCUAACGGGCUUUUUCCUUAUCUACCUCUCAGCGGAUUCCCCCCGAUUAGGCGCUGAUGGGCAUUUUCUGAGGUAUUUAGUGAAGGUUUAACCCCAAGGAUUUAAGAACUGAACAUAAACCACAAGAAAUUUGGAAUGCUGACCUCUCGCUUACAUUGCUUUCUGAACUGAAUAACACCUUAUGUCAAUUCAAAUAGUUUUUAAUAAAUGCUUAAACAAUAAUCAUGUAUUUACCUUGUCCUCCUCUCCUUCUUGACAACGCGAGAGCCGGGCUGUUGGAUGCUCCCAUUUGUUGGGCAGGUGUUCUCCUCAGGGCUGUUCGGCCCCAGCAGAGUUCUGGGUUGUGCACCAGUCCCCACAUUGAUUUUGGAGCUGCUGAUGCUGUUCAGUCUUCUCUGGCUUUGGCUCUUCGAGGCGCAACGUGA